AUGGCUUCUCCCGUGUUCUUGUGCAUCCUCCUGAUCAUAUUUGGCAGCUACCUUUGUAUUUCUGCUGCAGGCGACGAUAAGCAAAACUUCGUUGUGGUGUCAACCAGGUCAUUUCAGACAGAAGAUGUCUGCUCCACAUCGACAGUGACGCCUCGGCCAAACCGCGCCGCUGCGCCCCUGGUGCACAGGCACGGACCCUGUGCGAAGUCGCAGUCCACCAACAGGCCUUCUUUCCCGGAGGCGCUUCACAGAAGCCGCGUCCGCGCAGACUACAUCAUGAGCAAAGCGCUGAGGGGCACCACGAUGCAGGAGCAGGACGAGGGCAAGGUGAGCAUCCCGGCGUACCUGGGCACCUCCGUCGACUCGCAGGAGUACGUGGUCACGUUGGGCCUGGGCACGCCGGCCGUGGAGCAGGUCGUCCUCCUCGACACUGGCAGCGACCUGUCGUGGGUGCAGUGCGCGCCAUGCAACUCCAGCGACUGCUACCCUCAGAAGGAUCCCUUGUUCGACCCGCGCAAGUCCUCCACCUACGCUCCCAUCGCCUGCGGCUCUGACGUCUGCAAGAUCCUCCAGUCCGACCACCACUUGAACAAUGGCUGCACCAUGAACGGCAAUGGCACCCAGUCCCACUGUGGGUAUCGAGUCGAGUAUGGAGGAGGGUCAAAGACCAGUGGCGUGUACAGCAACGAGGCGCUCACGCUAGCGCCCGGCGUCGUCAUCAAGGACUUCCAUUUCGGCUGCGGAUACAAGCAGGGCGGCCCCAACGACAAGUUCGACGGCCUGCUCGGACUCGGCGGCGCGCCCGAGUCACUCCCGGUUCAGACCUCCGGAGUCUACGGCGGCUCUUUCUCCUACUGCCUCCCGCCGGUGAGCAGCGGCACCGGGUUCCUCGCCCUUGGUGCGCCCAGCAACACCUCGGCCUUCUCAUUCACGCCCAUGACCCCUUUCAUGGAUUACGCCACGUUCUACGUGGUGCAGCUCACCAGUAUCAGUGUCGGCGGGAAGCAGCUCCACAUCCCACGGAAGGCAUUGGAGGGGGGCAUGAUCGUAGAUUGCGGCAAUAUCAUCACACAGCUACCAACGACGGCCCACGCGAAACUGCAGUCCGCGCUCCGGGCGGCCAUGGCAGCUUACCCACUCGUCCCAAGCGACCCGGGCGAGACAUGCUACAACUUCACCGGAUACAGCAAUGUCACCGUGCCCAAGGUCGCUCUCACGUUCAGCGGCGGCGUCACGGUCGACCUCGAUGUGCCCAACGGGGUUCUGUUGGACGGCUGUCUGGCCUUCGCCGAGUCCGGGCCAGAUGGUUACGGCGGGAACAUCGGCAAUGUCCAAAUGAGAACGUUGGAGAUGUUGUACGACGUUAGGGGUGGUAGACUCGGAUUUCGGGCAGGUGCCUGC
rnacentral:rRNA from 1 species